GCGCCUAACACAUGCAAGUCGAACGAAGCACCUUACUUGAUUCUUCGGAUGAAGGUCUGGUGACUGAGUGGCGGACGGGUGAGUAACGCGUGGGUAACCUGCGCUGUACAGGGGGAUAACAGCUGGAAACGGCUGCUAAUACCGCAUGAGCGCACGAGGAGACAUCUCCUAGUGUGAAAAACUCCGGUGGUACAGGAUGGGCCCGCGUCUGAUUAGCUGGUUGGCAGGGUAACGGCCUACCAAGGCAACGAUCAGUAGCCGGUCUGAGAGGAUGAACGGCCACAUUGGAACUGAGACACGGUCCAAACUCCUACGGGAGGCAGCAGUGGGGAAUAUUGCACAAUGGGGGAAACCCUGAUGCAGCAACGCCGCGUGAGUGAAGAAGUAUUUCGGUAUGUAAAGCUCUAUCAGCAGGGAAGAUAAUGACGGUACCUGACUAAGAAGCUCCGGCUAAAUACGUGCCAGCAGCCGCGGUAAUACGUAUGGAGCAAGCGUUAUCCGGAUUUACUGGGUGUAAAGGGUGCGUAGGUGGCAGUGCAAGUCAGAUGUGAAAGGCCGGGGCUCAACCCCGGAGCUGCAUUUGAAACUGCUCGGCUAGAGUACAGGAGAGGCAGGCGGAAUUCCUAGUGUAGCGGUGAAAUGCGUAGAUAUUAGGAGGAACACCAGUGGCGAAGGCGGCCUGCUGGACUGUUACUGACACUGAGGCACGAAAGCGUGGGGAGCAAACAGGAUUAGAUACCCUGGUAGUCCACGCCGUAA
rnacentral:rRNA from 1 species